rnacentral:rRNA from 1 species
AGCGAACGCUGGCGGCAGGCUUAACACAUGCAAGUCGAACGGGCUUCUUCGGAAGUCAGUGGCAGACGGGUGAGUAACACGUGGGAACGUGCCCUUCGGUUCGGAAUAACUCAGGGAAACUUGAGCUAAUACCGGAUACGCCCUUUUGGGGUAAGGUUUACUGCCGAAGGAUCGGCCCGCGUCUGAUUAGCUUGUUGGUGGGGUAGCGGCCUACCAAGGCGACGAUCAGUAGCUGGUCUGAGAGGAUGAUCAGCCACACUGGGACUGAGACACGGCCCAGACUCCUACGGGUGGCAGCAGUGGGGAAUAUUGGACAAUGGGCGCAAGCCUGAUCCAGCCAUGCCGCGUGAGUGAUGAAGUCCUUAGGGUUGUAAAGCUCUUUUGUCCGGGACGAUAAUGACGGUACCGGAAGAAUAAGCCCCGGCUAACUUCGUG